UUUCAUGCACUCUGCUGUGAGGUGUUAUUUCAUUCCGAAAUUGCCCUCUCUCUUCAGCCACUUCAGAGUCCACAUCAGAAGGCCUACAAAACAGAGUCUCACUCGCUCAAUCACCCAGCCUUCUUUUCCAAUGGAUCAAGCUCAGUUUCUUCUGGUAGGGUUACCUCUGUUUCUCUUCUUCUCAUACAUCAUAAAUCUCUUCACGCCAUUGCCUCCAAAGCCACCGCCGCAUCAUCACCAUCAUCGUCAUCACCACCAGCAACCCCAACCCAAACCCCAAUCGGCUUCUUUAGAUUUCCCCACACAGAAAGAGAGUGGUAUUUGAGGUAUUGGCUUCGGCAACACCGUCAAUAUUAAUUUCUGUUCCUCUUGUUCCUACAGCCACCAUGGUCUCCAUGUAAGCAGCCACGGGUCUCCAAAAUUGGCCAUGUAAUCAGCACUCAAAUCUAAACCGAAAAGAACCCGAUCAGAGGAAACAUGGCAUGAGGGGCUUCGUGCAUCUCCACAAAGUGCUGGGUUCUCAUUUCUUAAUGGUCGGGUGCUUGGUGGACUGGAUGACUUGAGACAAGUUGAAGCCAAAUAUGCAGCUUUUCUUUUUAAACAGCAACUCACAACGUUCCUUCAGAAUAUAUAUGGAAUGAUAAGAGACAAUUUAAAGAAAUAUUUCCCCAUUGCUUGGAUUGUGUAUUCAGGAAAUUCUUCUUAGCAAUAGUUAAUUUGAAACAAAAUAUGAAUGGUAUGACUAGUUCCAUUUAAUAUCAAUAGCAACUCAAAUUUUAGACA